UUGGAAGCACUUCAACAUUCAACACCUUACAAGAACAACUCUCUCAAGCUCAGCGCCUAAUUGAAGAACAAGCAGCUGAGAACGCAAGACGUGAAGCAGAGCUCACCAAGGUUUCAGCUGCCCAACAAGCCAAGAUCGACCAACUCACAUUGCUGGAGAGGUAUUUGAGAGAAACUGAUCCAAGAUUCUUGGAAUUCAUGGCUGCUAAUUCUGCUCCCACGUCUUCUGCUACAACCGCUGCUCCAGUCACUGAUCCCACGGCUGCUGCAACCGGUGGUGCUCUAAACACUACUCCAACAGGUGCUGCAACCGCUGCUGGUCCAACCAAUCAACCAAACGAUCCUCAUCAAGGUUCUCUUUCAACCUCAUUUUGAAUAUCUCCUUAGUUUUGUUUUAGUGCAACCAGAAACUUUCAUCUAACGGUAGUCUACUUAUCUACAAUGGUAACCUCAUUUUGAAUAUGUCCUAUAUGGUAACCAUUGUAGUUCAUUUUUUUGUUAACAACAAUGUAAUCACCUUAAUGAUGUAAUACAUUAGUUGUUUACUUAUGCU
rnacentral:lncRNA from 1 species